rnacentral:rRNA from 1 species
GGACUACAAGGGUAUCUAAUCCUGUUUGCUCCCCACGCUUUCGCGUCUCAGCGUCAGUCACGUCCCAGCGAGCUGCCUUCGCCAUUGGUGUUCCUCCUGAUAUCUGCGCAUUUCACCGCUACACCAGGAAUUCCACUCGCCUCUUCCGGACUCGAGCUUGACAGUAUCCACCCGCCUCCCGGGGUUGAGCCCCGGGCUUUCAGAGCGGACUUACCAAGCCGCCUACACGCGCUUUACGCCCAAUGAUUCCGGACAACGCUUGCCCCCUACGUAUUACCGCGGCUGCUGGCAC